AAGGAGCAAGUGCUGUGGGAAGGGCACAGACAAUCAUGCUGGAAGACAAGUGCAAAGCAUUGAGAAGCCUGGAGGCACAAAAAGUUACCCAGAAAACCCUGGCUUCACAUGACCAUCCACGAGAAGGAGCAGGCCUGGCUGCCGAGAGAGGCAAGCCAUCGCUCUGCCAGAGCGGCCUUGCCCGAGGCAGGCUGGCACCCAGAAGCAUUCCAGCCAAAUAACGUCUUCCCCGCUGAGCGCUCCUCUGCUCGUUCAGUAAGCUGCAAGCCAUGUUGUGUGCCCCCAGAUGCAUUUGCAGAGGUCUGGCCUGUCAUUUCACUAAAAAAAAUUUUUUUUAA